rnacentral:rRNA from 1 species
AGUGAACGCUGGCGGUAGGCCUAACACAUGCAAGUCGAACGGCAGCACAGUAAGAGCUUGCUCUUACGGGUGGCGAGUGGCGGACGGGUGAGGAAUACAUCGGAAUCUACUUUUUCGUGGGGGAUAACGUAGGGAAACUUACGCUAAUACCGCAUACGCCCUACGGGUGAAAGCAGGGGAUCGUCGCACCUUGUGCGAAUGAAUGAGCCGAUGUCGGAUUAGCUAGUUGGCGGGGUAAAGGCCCAGCAAGGCGACGAUCCGUAGCUGGUCUGAGAGGAUGAUCAGCCACACUGGAACUGAGACACGGUCCAGACUCCUACGGGAGGCAGCAGUGGGGAAUAUUGGACAAUGGGCGCAAGCCUGAUCCAGCCAUACCGAGUGGGUGAAGAAGGCCUUCGGGUUGUAAAGCCCUUUUGUUGGGAAAGAAAAGCAGCCGGUUAAUACCACGCUGUUCUGACGGUAACCAAAGAAUAAGCACCGGCUAACUUCGUG